UACGUAGGGGGCUAGCGUUGUCCGGAUUUAUUGGGCGUAAAGAGCGUGUAGGCGGCCCGAUAAGUCCGCCGUGAAAGUCCAGGGCUCAACCCUGGAAUGCCGGUGGAAACUGUCGGGCUGGAGUCCGGAAGAGGCGAGUGGAGUUCCUGGUGUAGCGGUGAAAUGCGCAGAUAUCAGGAGGAACACCAAUGGCGAAGGCAGCUCGCUGGGACGGUACUGACGCUGAGGCGCGAAAGCGUGGGGAGCAAACAGG
rnacentral:rRNA from 1 species